UACGGAGGGUGCAAGCGUUGUUCGGAUUUAUUGGGCGUAAAGCGCGUGUAGGCGGUCUCUUAAGUCUGAUGUGAAAGCCCCGGGCUCAACCCGGGAAGUGCAUUGGAUACUGGGAGACUUGAAUACGGGAGAGGGUAGUGGAAUUCCUAGUGUAGGAGUGAAAUCCGUAGAUAUUAGGAGGAACACCGGUGGCGAAGGCGGCUACCUGGACCGAUAUUGACGCUGAGACGCGAAAGCGUGGGGAGCAAACAGG
rnacentral:rRNA from 2 species